rnacentral:rRNA from 1 species
UACGGAGGGUGCGAACGUUAAUCGGAAUCACUGGGCGUAAAGCGCGCGUAGGCGGUCUGUUAAGUGGGAUGUGAAAUCCCCGGGCUUAACCUGGGAAUUGCAUUUCGAACUGGCCGACUAGAGUACGGUAGAGGGAGGUAGAAUUUCCUGUGUAGCGGUGAAAUGCGUAGAUAUAGGAAGGAAUACCAGUGGCGAAGGCGGCCUCCUGGAUCGACACUGACGCUGAGGCGCGAAAGCUAGGGGAGCAAACGGG